rnacentral:lncRNA from 1 species
GGAAGGGUGGAAGGACAGGCCUGGGAGUGCACAGCUGUUAUAGGAAGAAGGCACCACGACCUCAGCGAAAUCUGGCAUCAGGAAAGAAGUGAGAGCCGCAGAGCCCCACACCCACCCGAAUCUCCAACCUCCAAGCUCUUGUUCCUGUGGCAACACCUCAUGUACUUCGUCUCUACGGAGGAGUAUCUCAAUACAAAGAUAAAGUGGCUCCUACCCUUUGGCACAUUGUGGGGUCUAAUUGACAAGGCAGGGUCUCACUAUGCAGCAAAAGCUGGCUUCACAUUAGAAUCAGUUCACUGGAUCUGCUGGAGCACACCUUUAAUCCCAACACUCGCGAAGCAGAAGCAGGUAGAUCUCUAUGAGUCUGAGGGUCUACAGAGAGUUCCAUGACAGCCAAGACUACACAGAGAAACCCGUCUAGAGGAAGAAAGAAAGAAAGAAAGAAAGAAAGAAAGAAAGAAAGAAAGAAUCUGUUCAUGUGCUUCCUUCCCUUUCCUCCGACCGAUCCGCAACGAGAGCCCUCACCCAGUGGCUGAUGGAAGCAGAGACAGACAUCCACAGAAAUACACUGAGCUGAAAUCUGGAAUUUAGUUGAAGAGAGGGAGGAAUGAAGAGCGAAGGGGUCUGUACCAGGUUGGAGAAACCCACGGGAACAAUUGA